CAUCUCUCUUUCAAUCACUGCAUUCGCCCUCUUGUCUCCGUCGUGUCCUUUCACCGCUCGUCUCCUUGUCUUUGUCCUCCCCUUCUUUCAUUUACCCCCCCCCGUGUCUCUGAAGGCACGCGCGCCCUGAUGGUGAGCAAAUCGAUCAAUCUGUUUGCACCGAUUGAAUUACGGUGACGACAUUGAUCCUGUUGAAUUGGAUGUUGUCGUCACCACACGAGCGUGACGUGUGUUCUCUCAUUGACGCCACGGUGAACUGAUCGGAUUGAACGCCUCACAAUUCGCCAUCGAAGUCACCAAAAUAAAAGUCCUUUUAUCAAAUUUUCCAUCAAACUUUUAAAAAAGAUGAAUAUCUGCCCAACUGCACAUGUUGCGUUUGAGAAUAAGCAGCAAAGUAAAAGCCGUGUUGAUCUGUGUCUUUGCUCACGCUGACCUGCACUGGGUGAAUAUGUGCGGCAGCGUUUUAGCACCUCUACGGCUUGAUUGGGUAUAAAAGGUCGACUAAGUGUUCAUAAGUCCGUCUUGGUUCCUUUGUUCACCUCUUAAGGCUGAAGUGUAGUUGCACAACCUCACGCUGGUGCACACAAGUUCUGUACUUUGCAACCCAGUUACCACAAUUUACUUUUGUACCUUUAUGCAAAGAGGCUGAGCCAUAUUUAAAUAUUACACCUCUGCCGCUAAAUGAGAAAAGAUGUCGUCUUAGAUUUAGGAUAUCGUAUCACAAAAGACUGUUUUUGUUUUUUCAGCAGCUGCGUGAGAAUAAAGGGAUGUCAUUUAUGAUGCGCUCGAGGUGUUUGGUUCUUCGCCUUACUAACAUACAUAUCUCCUCACUAUUUAUCACAAUGCUUGUUGUAUUGACGCUUUGUGAAAGCACCAAAGGUCGGUUGGAUAUUCACGCACAGCUUUCUGCUGUGACUGCAAACUCCUCCAAGUGGAGGUAGAAGAACGUGGAUGAGAGCGUCGCAUUGACGUGUGACACGAACAUCUGCCUCCUGGGUGAAGGUCCCGUGUCUGUCUCCUAAGCGCCCCACCAACAUGUGCUGUGGACGUCGCCUGAAUGAGCUGCUGGUCUCGGUGGGAGGGAAGAGAAGGCAAACAGGAAAUGGACCGCAUUGAAAUGCCAGCGUGUCGGGACGCGCCCACGGAGGCCCAGCGCAGCGUGUCCUCGGCGCUCAAAGGACGCUUCAGUCGGGGGAAGUUGGAAGCAGAAGCCGCGCUCUGAACAGGAAACGGUCGGCUGGGAUCGUAUUUACAGACUUUCCGCUUCCUGUCGUCAGCAGGGGGCUCGAGCUGCAAUGGGGCUCUGCUUCCAUCCGGCGUGCUUCCAAAGCCAGAGCGUGGAGGUCGUGCGUGCGCGGCAUGUCUGGACCUGUGGCUGCAGGUUGUGACUGAGCACCACACUGCAGCAUUUUUCGUCCUGACUUGAACUUGUCGGAAGUCGCCCUCACGACUUGGGAGCCGCGUCCACAAAGACGGCGCCAGGGAAGGACAGAGCGGCCCAACGACGGCGUUGGACCCACCCGCGAUGGGUGGAGAAGAGGGCCCGCCCUCCGCUUCAUCAACGGAUUCACUUCAACGCUUAAACGCACUCAACGGCCAACCAACGCUGCAAUGAAGCAGGAGAGUAAAUGUGAGGUUACUCGGAGCCCUCAGAAGCAUCUGAGCAGACAGGAGGAUAAAAACCCAUCUGCUGACGGGACGGACGCCACGCUGAGGUCAGCAGAUCAACGCCAGCUAACCGUCCCUCUCAGAACGCAGACCCAGUUCCUCACCGCUAACGUCUUCAGACAGGCCGGCUUUUUCCGGGGGGGGGGGUCAAUAUUCAUGACGGUACAUCACAGAAGCGUCGAUGAAACGAGAAGUUCCAGUAAACCAACUCCAUGGGGGGGGGGGGGGGCUGAUAUCCAGUCUGAUGAAGAAAAAGGUUUUCACACCUUAAAGCAGAACUGAAAAACGGCUUCACACUUCAGGGAACUAUUUGCGUUAUCAGGUUAUCUGCGGUCAUCUCUAUACAGGGAAACAGCUUUGCAUAUGAAAUGGAAACAUCUUUAUCUUGUAUUCUGGUGUUACUACUGGUGUACUAGUACUAGUGGUGUUACCACUAGUACUAGUACUAGUGCAGGACUCUUGGUGCACAAAGAAAAGCUUUAUGUUUCUGUAAGCAUCCGUUGUUUUACACAGUAUCCGGCUGUACAACAAGAGUCUGAGGGAGACGGAAUACUGUGACCCACAGAAGUGCUCAGGUCAGGGGGCCGGACCCCGACUCCCAUGAGCCUCAGCUGCCGUCGCCAUGGAGAAGGUGCAACUGUCAGAUGCACGUAAAACGGCUGUAGGUUGUUAAAUAAAUGCUUCAUUGUUGCAGAACAGAAUAAUCGAAAAUAUUUAUUUAUUUUUUAUUUUUUAUUUAUUGUGAAGAACAGAAUAUUUCUGCUAAAGACACAAUUCAAACAUCCAUUUUCAAGAAAUUCCCAAUUCCAUCUUGUAUUAUGUAAUGUGAUCACGGCGGGGGGAGAGUUGUGUGACCAAACGACGAGGCCGGGGAAAGGUCGUGGUGAAGGUCACUCCACUGGCUCAGACGAGCCUCCUUCGCCUGCACGUGUUGGAGGUGCUGCACAUCUCAGUCAGGUGGAUACAAACGCUCCUCUUUUUACCGCCUGUGUUUCAGGGCGACGCUACGUUGGAAGUGAGAGCGCGUGAAGACUCUGCAGCUGCACGGCGCUCGUCUCCACAUCCGUGUGAUCUAAUGAGAAGCGACAGGCCUCCGUCUCCCAGAGAGACUUCCCAGAGCCGCCAACAAGGGGGGAACCGAGAGAGCGAAGACAGGCCUUAAAUGUGUAAUAAAUGAAUACUUGGCAAAUGUUGAGGGGGACAAAGACGGUGUGAAAGCGCCAUGUGAAAGAUGGCGAGUGAAUCGAUUAUUGAUCGGCGGGAUUUCAGAGCGCGUCACAUCAGACUGUCUUCCAUCAAUCCACAGGAGCGUGGAGCCAUCUGAGGCCUUGAUGAGUCCAUGCAGCGGAAAAGCUGCAGCAGCAGAAUACACGUGCAUACUUGCACAACCACGCUCUCCUAGUGUGUGUGUGUGUGUAAUAUAUCGGGGCAGUUAGUUAAAUCG
ensembl:lncRNA